rnacentral:rRNA from 1 species
CUACGGGCGGCUGCAGUGGGGAAUCUUAGACAAUGGGGGAAACCCUGAUCUAGCCAUGCCGCGUGAGCGACGACGGCCCUAGGGUCGUAAAGCUCUUGCAGCAGGGAAGAUAAUGACGGUACCUGCAGAAGAAGUCCCGGCUAACUCCGUGCCAGCAGCCGCGGUAAUACGGAGGGGACUAGCGUUGUUCGGAAUUACUGGGCGUAAAGCGCGCGUAGGCGGAUUGUCAAGUCGGGGGUGAAAUCCAGGGGCUCAACCCCGGAACUGCCCUCGAUACUGGCAGUCUUGAGUUCGAGAGAGGUGAGUGGAAUUCCGAGUGUAGAGGUGAAAUUCGUAGAUAUUCGGAGGAACACCAGUGGCGAAGGCGGCUCACUGGCUCGAUACUGACGCUGAGGUGCGAAAGCGUGGGGAGCAAACAGGAUUAGAUACCCGGGUAGUC